GCGGACCCUCAUUCAUCAGAAACGUGGGUAAAAGUUGGCAAAAGAGACACAUUUAAAUACAAGUUGUGAACAGAAAUAUGACUGCUUUUUCCACUUGUGAUCAUUUCGAUAAACGCAUCUUAAUACCAGGCAGGGAUAGGGGCAAAAACAUAGUAUUGGCUUUGCUCUGCUCUUUUUUUUCUUCUUUAUAUUAGUUUACCUCAACCUUCAAUUGUUUUCUGCUUAAUCAUACUGUACAGAAUGAAAUCAUUUAACCAGACAUUCAUGAUUCAUCACUUUUCCAUUGCUUUCACACUGAGACAUUUGGUUCAAAUAGCUCAGUAGACAGCAUAAUAGACAGUUUAAUAGCAACAUGGUCUUGGGCCUCGUGGCUAUUUUAAGUGAUCAGCUAUGUCUCUCUGGCUACACUCUGAUUCUACUAACCUUUCUUCCAUGUGCGUAAAAACCCAUCUGCUUUUCUUCACAAUCAGCGUCCUGUCGUCUUUUCUCUCUACCUCUGCCCUCUCGCUAUAGGCUCACCGACGGUUGCCCAUGAUCCUGUUGAUGCAAACCUCCAGAAACUGACACAGCUUGUUAACAAAGAGUCCAACCUUAUUGAAAAGAUGGAUGACAAUCUUCGCAGCAGCCCACAACACAGACCCCAUAGACAUGAGGCCAAACCCUCAGCCCCCGCCAGUGACAGGAACUCAACGCCUGCCUGAGAAACCCACAUUGACCUUUCCGUUAUUUAUUUAAUUUUCACUGACACAGACAUCCUUUACAAAUCAUAUUUAAAAUAUUAACUCACCAGUAAGGUAAAAAAUGAAUGCAGAUUUUUCAUGAUGCUGUUGCUGAAAUAUCAAAUUGAGUGUUGAACGACAUAAAGGGCUUGUUAAAUGGGCAUUGACCAUAACAUGGCAAUUUGUAUGUUGGACUGAGGAAUCAUAACCAUGUGGCAAUUAUGAAAUAUAAAAAGGGAAAAUAUAAUUAAAAACACAAGAGCUUUAAAUAACAGUUGAUAAGUUAAAAAUACUGUUAAAUAGACUUUGUUCAGUCUUCAUAAAUUCAUUGGAACUUUGAUUUGACCUUUACUUGCUGUUUUUUAGUGUGUGAUUCAAGUGUUGUUUUUUUAAAUGGAUCACAAUCAUUGGCUCACUUGCUUUGUUCAAAAACAGAUUAUUAAUUUAUUAACAGCAAAAUAACCCAUAAUAUUGUGUCUAUAAUGUAACUUAUGAAGAUUAACUUCUACCUUUACUGAAUUAGUUAUCGUUGUUAGACUUUUCCCAUUCCUCCCAGAUUAAAACAUCAGUCAGAGGCUUAAAAUAAGUUCAAUUCGUUUAAUUAAUUAGAUGAAUAAAGCAUUACAGAGCUCUGGGUUUUAGAGAACAGCAACAAGAUCUUCCAUACAGAUUAGCCCAGCAGAAAUAGCUAAUCUGCACAGAAAAAAUAACGCAUACCCAUAACAGAGCCUACAAGAGAGUGAGCCUGGACCCCUCCCCUUUGUGAAUAUUCCUGUAAAUGAGCACACUCUGAAAGAAAACAGUUGUAACAUUUUGCUGAGAACAAGUUCUAAGGAGUUGACUUCUCGGCUAUCAGUCACACAAAGCCACAGCUGUUAAGGAGCAAAGUUAUAUGAGGUUAAACACAUCAGCAUAUGUUGUAAUUAAUUAAAAAUAGAAUUAAAUGUUUAAUGCAAGGGUUAGACUAUUAAUGCAUAGGACAAAGUUAAAAUCAUCAAAAAUUCGUUCAUUGUCUGAAUGCUCUUGAAGUCUCAAUACAUAUUUUUGUUUGUUAUUUUUUUUGUUUGUUUGCUGUGAGUGACAUUUCAUGAUGUCAGCUUUUACAUUGUUAAACCUACAAUUGCAAUAUUAGCCUGUGAUGAAUAUUGCAAAGCCCUAAUUAGGAGUUUGUAACAGUUACUUGCGUUCACAUGGCAGGUGAAAUCUACUAUAGCACACAUGUAGUUUGGCAUUGUGCCUCAAUACAGGAUUUUUUCUUCUGUUUAUUCUGUUUGUGUUUGCAUUAAUGUCACUUAACACAUUCUUUAUACUUUUGGUCCAAAGGGAUCUUGAUCACCAGAUUUUGUGUACCGUGUAUACAUUUGUUGUUUUUCAUAUUCCUCUGAAAUAUUUUAUACAUGCAACGAUUGCCUUUAAAGUGCAGUGCUAUGCCAUGCCAUCUCACCUGGUGUUAUCAGACAUCCUUUGUGUUUUAAGAAAUUGUAUAUUUCCAAAUAUAACUGUGUACAGAAAUAUUUAAGUAGAUGUACAUAAAUGCAAGGCGGCAUUCUUUGAAAAUAAACAGGGUGGAAAGUCA